CUGAGCUUCAAGUGACCUGACUGGAGAAGGAAAACAUGUCCAAGAUGGAAACUGCCUCAGUCGUCAGAGAAUAAGGAUGUGACCUGUAACCACAUUAGUGGGCUCCUGGUGAACUCCUGUGUGCAGAGUGGGGACGUGGUGGUCACCUGCCAGGUGGUACAUGUAACGCAGACAGCCACCUCCAGAAACCAUAGGCUCAAUAUCUUCACCACCCAGAAGGAGCAGGGUACAGACACCUCCCUGGCGAGGGUCAGUGUCUAAUCCGAGCAGCUCAGAAGGCUGAGGCAAGAAGAAGGCAAAUUCCAGGUCAGCACCUGCAACUUAGUGAGGCCAUGAUCAACUCCUCGAGGCCCUGUCUCUAAAGAAAUAUUAAAAACGGCUUGAGGUGCAGUUGUGUGGAUCAGCACCACUGGGUUCAAUCUCCAGAACCAAAAUGAAAAACAUAUCUCCCUGGGGGGGGGGUCUCCACUCGAGGUGACUAGGGUUUUUCUAUCUUGUAUCUUUUUGUUUUAAUUUUUUUAUUCCUAAAUUAAGUAUUCCUAUCCAUUACAGAAUAAUUCGCAAGUCUAUAAGUAUGUAUUAUAACCUUACAUUCACCUGCAAUUCCCCACUCCUUACCUCUAGAGUCUCCAAUGUCAAGAGCUUGGUCCAUCUCUCCAUGGAUCUUCUGACAUAAACAGACAUUAAAGAAGAAAGAGAGGGAGGGGGACUGUCCUGCCUUUUGUCUAUCCACCUAUCAGUUGCUUUGUUCUUUUUCCUCAGAGUCUUUGCAGCCUUCAUUCAAUAUUGGAAUUUUCCUACACAUUUGUAGCCUCACUCAACAAAUGCUGGUUUCUACCAGGUGAAAUCUGGAAAGGACUCCCUGAGGAGGUGGAGACUGUUUGAACCAGGCCCCUAGGUGACCUUGAGUGGUCUCCACAGGGGUCUUAAUUUCCUCCUGAUUUGUGAUAAUAGACCUACUGUAAUGAUGACUCUCAAAACCUCAUCACAACAUGUAAAUUUCUGCUUGUGUAUAUUCUCCUUUGAUGCUCCAACUACCUGUGUGUUAGGAGUUUACAGAAAGGGAAACUAGGACAGCCCUGGAGAGUAGUGGGAGUGUUGCUGAUGGCUUCCUGCCCUGACACAUGGAAACUAUCUAAACCACUCUAGGCAAAUCUAAAGUCACUGUGGUCAGGGCCAACACCAGCUAUAG
rnacentral:lncRNA from 1 species